AUAUUUAGGUUCUUUGUAUUACAAGGAUUAAAAGGGAAUCAGGUGAGAAUCCUGAGCGGACCGGCCACUGUAAAUGGGGAGUGAACUUUUAGCAUACCACUGAGAUUAUUCUUGGGAAGGUGAAAGUAAACUGUAAUCCAUAAGUCAGGAGACCUGCCUAGAUAUGU
rnacentral:ncRNA from 1 species